rnacentral:lncRNA from 1 species
UCGUCUGUAUUUCCGCCGGCGCGAAACGAGCGUAGCUUCCUUGUCGUGUGGCCUCAGUCCUUCGCCGUCCCUCGCCGUCCUUCGCCAUCGCACGCCACCGCACCCCAUCUCUCGAAAUCUGCAGACAUCUUGAUUUUUCCCACGCUGUCUGUCAGGUCUCCGCCGCCACUCGACGCCAGGGCGCCGGGCCUUGUGGGCUGUGCUGCACCUCGGACGGCUUCGCACCAGCCAGCGCCCUCUCUCUCCUGCAGCACUCUGAUCUGCACCCCCUGAGGGGCUUCCACUGUCCGCGGGGUGAGAAUGCCCCUGGGAGUGUCACAUGACUGCCGCCCCAUGUGUGUGAGAGGCGUCCUCUGGGAGAGCAUGGAUCCUGAGGUCCCAGGAUUGUCAGCUGACCUCUGUCCUGUGUGCCCAGUGGCCCCAGGUGACGUGUCUUCAAGAAGAGGCUGAGCUGCGGUGCUUGUAAGGUCUCAGCCUUAGAUCCAAGGACAGUCCAAGGAAGUCCUAAGACCAUGGAGUUGGUGAUCUGGGAUCUGGGUUUGCUGAUAUUUCUCACCGUGAAUCUCUUGGUGGUGUUUGUGGGCACGAGAGGGGCAGAGAAUGGAGAGUGAGGCUACCACAUGAAGCGUCACCAGAGCUGCUCCCUGCUGCCUGCUCAGAGCACCCCGGAUCCACUGUUCAAUCUGCACAAGAUUCGGGGUCCAGACAUGGGAGACUUCAGCUGCCUCAGAGGACCGUGGACAGGGAAGGCCAGCCUCGCAUCCCUCUGUCCAUGCCUGGAAUGACUUUAAUAACCAAGAGUUUUAUUUUUGAAUUUGUAGCUGUCGUUCACUUUUUACCCACCCAUUCAAUAAACCUUACAGAAUUGCUCCAU